GACAGGAGGAUGCAAACGUUGCUCGGAAUUACUGGGCGUAAAGCGCGUGUAGGCGGUCUGGUAAGUCGGACGUGAAAUCCCGGGGCUCAACCCCGGAAGUGCGCUCGAUACUGCCGGACUUUGGGUUCUGAAGAGGAGAGCGGAAUUCCCGGUGUAGAGGUGAAAUUCGUAGAUAUUCGCAAGAACACCAGUGGCGAAGGCGGCUUACUGGUCCGGAACUGACGCUGAGGUGCGAAAGCGUGGGGAGCAAACAGG
rnacentral:rRNA from 1 species